GCUGGGGGAUUAGUGGCGAACGGGUGAGUAACACGUGAGUAACCUGCCCUUGACUCUGGGAUAAGCCUGGGAAACUGGGUCUAAUACCGGAUACGACCAUCUGGCGCAUGUCAUGGUGGUGGAAAGCUUUUGUGGUUUUGGAUGGACUCGCGGCCUAUCAGCUUGUUGGUGGGGUAAUGGCCUACCAAGGCGACGACGGGUAGCCGGCCUGAGAGGGUGACCGGCCACACUGGGACUGAGACACGGCCCAGACUCCUACGGGAGGCAGCAGUGGGGAAUAUUGCACAAUGGGCGCAAGCCUGAUGCAGCGACGCCGCGUGAGGGAUGACGGCCUUCGGGUUGUAAACCUCUUUCAGUAGGGAAGAAGCCGUAAGGUGACGGUACCUGCAGAAGAAGCGCCGGCUAACUACGUGCCAGCAGCCGCGGUAAUACGUAGGGCGCAAGCGUUAUCCGGAAUUAUUGGGCGUAAAGAGCUCGUAGGCGGUUUGUCGCGUCUGCUGUGAAAGACCGGGGCUCAACUCCGGUUCUGCAGUGGGUACGGGCAGACUAGAGUGCAGUAGGGGAGACUGGAAUUCCUGGUGUAGCGGUGAAAUGCGCAGAUAUCAGGAGGAACACCGAUGGCGAAGGCAGGUCUCUGGGCUGUAACUGACGCUGAGGAGCGAAAGC
rnacentral:rRNA from 2 species